CCUACGGGUGGCUGCAGUCGAGAAUCUUCGGCAAUGGGCGCAAGCCUGACCGAGCGACGCCGCGUGCGGGAUGAAGGUCUUCGGAUUGUAAACCGCUGUCGGAGGGGAUGAAAUGCAUGGGGGUACUCCCCUGUGUUUGACAGAGCCUCGGAGGAAGCACGGGCUAAGUUCGUGCCAGCAGCCGCGGUAAUACGAACUGUGCGAACGUUAUGCGGAAUCACUGGGGUUGAAGGGUGCUCAGGCCAGGUGUGAAAUCCACCGGCUCAACCGGGGAACUGCGCUUGAAACUGGGGUGCUCGAGUGAGGUAGGGGUGUAUGGAACUUCCGGUGGAGCGGUGAAAUGUGUAGAUAUCGGAAGGAACGCCGGCGGCGAAAGCGGUACACUGGGCCUUGUCUGACGCUGAGGCACGAAAGCUAGGGGAGUGAACGGGAUUAGAUACCCUAGUAGUC
rnacentral:rRNA from 1 species